UACGUAGGGUGCGAGCGUUGUCCGGAAUUAUUGGGCGUAAAGAGCUCGUAGGCGGUGUGUCACGUCGGCCGUGAAAACCUGCAGCUUAACUGUGGGCGUGCGGUCGAUACGGGCAUCACUGGAGUUCGGCAGAGGAGACUGGAAUUUACGGUGUAGCGGUGAAAUGCGUAGAUAUCGUAAGGAAGACCAGUGGCGAAGGCGGGUCUCUGGACAGUUCCUGACGCUGAGGCACGAAGGCCAGGGGAGCAAACGGG
rnacentral:rRNA from 1 species